rnacentral:rRNA from 1 species
GUAGUGGGUUUGGUCGCUCGCAUUUAAAUUGGAAGGGUAAUGGUGGACCGCACUUCUCCCUUAGUAGGACGUUGCGACCUGUCAAAUAAUAUCCUAAGUAUUUGGCUAAUUUGUCUGUUUUUAGGCAGUACUGAAAGGUAUUUCCUUUAACAGUUUUAGCCGUUUACAUACUGGAUAUAAUUGACAGUAACGAAUCAUGGUGUUGAGCCACUUACUUUGUAAGUGUCCUUUAUGGCUGUUUGCAAGUGGGUUGGUUAAUUAGUUUUAGUCGGAUUUUGGUCCGUCUAACUAUUCCGCCUACUGUUGGUAAACUGUUCCUUGGACAGUGCUUAUAACACCGGUCGGCAGCGAUUCAGGUUCAGGCUCUUAUCCGACCCGUCUUGAAACACGGACCAAGGAGUUUAGCGUGUACGCAAGUCAUUGGGUGUAUAAAACCCAAAGGCGCAA